CCGUCCUUUCCCCCCGCCCCCUGCCUCCCCUUUACCCUCGCCGGCAGCUCCGUGGCCGACUCGGGUCCCGCGGUCGACGGAGCGGGCGCGCGCGCCGGGGGUCGCGCGGCUGUUGAGAAGGGCGAGCGCGCGCGGGGAGGGAGUGGAGGCGUAGUGGGGCGGGGGUACGGUUCGCUUGCUCGCAAGAUGGCGGACGAGGACGGGGAAGGGAUUCACCCCUCAGCCCCUCACAGGAACGGAGGUGGCGGCGGCGGUGGGGGGUCUGGGCUCCACUGCGCCGGGAACGGCGGCGGGGGAGGCGGCGGCCCGCGGGUCGUGCGCAUCGUCAAGUCCGAGUCCGGCUACGGCUUCAACGUGCGGGGCCAAGUGAGCGAGGGCGGGCAACUGCGGAGCAUCAACGGGGAGCUGUACGCGCCGCUGCAGCAUGUGAGCGCCGUGCUGCCCGGGGGGGCGGCCGAUCGGGCCGGGGUGCGCAAGGGGGACCGCAUUCUGGAGGUGAACGGCGUGAAUGUUGAGGGGGCGACACACAAGCAGGUGGUGGACCUGAUCCGAGCAGGCGAGAAGGAAUUGAUCUUGACAGUGUUAUCUGUGCCUCCUCAUGAGGCAGAUAACCUAGAUCCCAGUGACGACUCGUUGGGACAAUCAUUUUAUGAUUACACAGAAAAGCAAGCAGUGCCCAUAUCGGUCCCCACAUACAAACAUGUGGAGCAGAAUGGUGAGAAGUUUGUGGUAUACAAUGUUUACAUGGCAGGGAGGCAGCUGUGUUCCAAGCGGUACCGGGAGUUUGCCAUCCUACACCAGAACCUGAAGAGAGAGUUUGCCAACUUUACAUUUCCCCGACUUCCAGGGAAGUGGCCAUUCUCUUUAUCAGAACAGCAAUUAGAUGCCCGACGUCGGGGGUUGGAAGAAUACCUAGAAAAAGUGUGCUCAAUACGAGUCAUUGGUGAGAGUGACAUCAUGCAGGAAUUCCUGUCGGAAUCAGAUGAGAACUACAAUGGUGUGUCCGACGUAGAGCUGAGAGUAGCAUUACCAGAUGGAACAACAGUUACAGUCAGAGUUAAAAAGAACAGUACUACAGACCAAGUAUACCAGGCUAUUGCAGCAAAGGUUGGCAUGGACAGUACGACGGUGAAUUAUUUUGCCUUAUUUGAAGUGAUCAAUCAUUCCUUUGUACGUAAGCUGGCACCUAAUGAAUUUCCUCAUAAACUCUACGUCCAGAAUUACACAUCAGCUGUGCCAGGCACCUGCCUGACCAUUCGAAAAUGGCUUUUUACUACAGAAGAAGAAAUCCUCUUAAAUGACAAUGACCUUGCUGUUACUUACUUCUUUCAUCAGGCUGUUGAUGAUGUGAAAAAAGGUUACAUCAAAGCAGAGGAAAAGUCCUACCAAUUACAGAAGCUGUAUGAACAAAGGAAAAUGGUCAUGUACCUCAACAUGCUAAGGACUUGUGAGGGCUACAAUGAAAUCAUCUUCCCCCACUGUGCCUGUGACUCCAGGAGGAAGGGUCAUGUUAUCACAGCCAUCAGCAUCACGCACUUUAAACUGCAUGCCUGCACUGAGGAAGGACAGCUAGAGAACCAAGUAAUAGCAUUUGAAUGGGAUGAGAUGCAGCGAUGGGAUACUGAUGAAGAAGGAAUGGCCUUCUGUUUUGAAUAUGCACGAGGAGAGAAGAAGCCUCGAUGGGUUAAAAUCUUCACACCAUAUUUCAAUUACAUGCAUGAGUGCUUCGAGAGGGUGUUCUGCGAGCUCAAGUGGAGAAAAGAGGAAUAUUAGUUAGAGACUGGUUAUCCCGUGUGAGCCAGGAUACUCUUCCAGAGAGGUUAGCCUUUGGAUGCUGAAUGGACUGUACAAAAAAGCCCUGCUUCUACCCUUGUCCAGAGGGUGGCCACUGGCUACAGGCUGUUCCAUCCCUCAUGACUUCAUGGAUCCUCCUCUGCCUGUUUUUUAUCAAAUUACCCUCCAUGUUGUUCCUGACCCAGAAGGGCAGCUGUCCUCAGUUUGAACCGUUCUGACUGGAUGAGCCAUGACAGAGGCUGUCUAGGCUAAUAACCAAGAAUGUGUAUGUUUGGGAAAGUUUUUGCUACUGCUUUACUGCUGUCUGUAUAUGCCAGUGCUGGAGCAGAAUUUGGAAGAUUCUGAAUAAUUAGCUGCUUAUUCUCAAAGAAAAUGUUUCCGAGGUUCAGAAGAACAUUUUCCAGGUGGCGAGGUCACAGCAGAGGGAUGUGGCCACCUAGCCUUUCCUUAUCCCCUUCCCUUCUCUUCGCCCUCGUCCUCUUAUCCCUUUCAUCUCCCAUGUCAGACAGAGUAACCAUUAACACAAAAGAAGAGAAAAAGGAAAAAAGUCAUUAUAUUCAAAAGCCCUAAACUAAAUAUUAUUAAUAAUCCUUCUGAAUUUCAUGUCUCUGGAAUUGAGCUGGUAGAGAACAACAGAUUGGUCAGCACCAGGAGUCAACUGAGUUAAGACAGAAAAAGAAAUACACCCAACCAACUCGCCAAAGGUAUCUUUGUCCUUUCACCUGGGCCUCAUACCAACAAACUCUCCUUGUACUAUAUUUUUAAAACUGGAACUAUGAACUCCAUCCAUUUGCACUGUUCAGACAUAUAUAUGUAUGUAUGUAAAAAUUAUAUAUACACAAAUUAGCUGCACGUAUAUACAUAUAUAUAUUUCUUUUUAAAUUUCAUAUUGAUGGCAGUACCUUUUUUAGCUUGUGUUUUUACACACCUUUCACUAGAAUUCAUGACUUCUCUCUUGCUGUCUUUAUUUUGAAACAAACUUUAAAAAGGAAAAAAAAAAAAUUUACAGGGAAAAUACCUCUCCUCAUGAAGGACUUGAAAAGUUUACAACCUGCUUGGGUUUUUUCCCCCCUUUUUUGUAUUGAGUGAAGAUUCUGGCUCAUGGGUUGCCAUAGAGUUUGAAAAGCAAGGAGCAUAGUUUCUUUAUCUUCCAGGAGGCUGCUGGGGAGGAGAAGGAGCUGUGUUUCUCAAGGGCAGCCAGGCUGCAGAUCUGCAGGGAGAGUUUGAAGACUUGGUGUGGUCUCUUGUUUCCAAGACAGUUUCUCUGGUCCAUCUUUCUCUUCCACUCGUGGCUUUCUAGCCACAUUCCACAUUUCCCUCCUGCUUCCCCAGGGUCACUUGUAUGCUUUCCCUCAACUGGCCUAGAAUGGAGGGGAGGGUGGGCUCAGGAGGUUGAUGCCACAGGAACCUGAAACACUUCAUGGUCGUAAUUUCCUAUUUCCCUCUCAUUUCUGAAGCAGUGAUGGUACUAGGGGCCAGAGUUAAAGCUGAUACCGUUAGGCACAAAGGUUGGACUUAGGCAGGGGAAAGGAUGGAAGAAAUGCCCCGUGUGCAUAAGCUUUUCCCUACUCCAUUCCUGACCAGUAACCACCUAUAACUAUAACAUUAUCUCUGACUUCCUGAAACAGCUGCGUUGGGGAGGGAUCUGACAAUAUCUCCAAGGCUUUGGGGCGAAUUGGAAUGGGUCAGUGGUCUGUGCCAACCAAACCAUAGCCUAUCCAAGCCAGCUGAGGACCCAGGAAGGAGCAGUAGGACUAUGGUUGAUUUGGGUUGGAUCUCAACCUUUAAUUAAAAGGAGACUGAAGGAAAACCUUUUUGUUCCUCAAAGAGCUCCUUAUCUGACUUUGCAGUUAGACCUUUUGAGACUUAAGAGCUCCAUCCCAGAAUGUAGGGCCAGGGCUGCCUCGGGUAGGGCAAUAUUCUCAGCCCCCGGGCUUUGUAGAUACUGCAUCAGGACCUCUAAGUCAGGCUCUGAAAUAACUGGAACACAUCUUUGAGCCUUCUUUUCUUUUUCUCUUCUUCACCUUCUGAACAAAAACCUCCAUAGGGUGGUAUCUUUUGCUUUGUCUAACUGGGAGGCACCAUAGCUGGUUGUAGUCAACUCAACUGAGCAGUGUUGGGGUGGUUUGAAGUUUCCUUUUUUGUAACUUGUUUUUGCAUAUCAUUGUGAGGCCACUUUUCUUUCUCUCUCGCUCUGUUAUCCUGGCAGCCACUUGCCUCAAGGGAAUAUUGGGUCAUAUAGGACAUCCCACCUUCCCUUACCUUUUCCAGACCCAGGUGGAUCACAGAGUACAAAAUGUAAGAAUGCUGAAUGUUAAAAGUUGCAGAGAAUGAUCCCUGAUUUGAAGGCUUUGACGUAGAAUUAACUGCUUUUGGCUUGGAUGAAUUUAAUAAUGAGCCAAAGGUCCCUCGAAAGAAGAUAUGUUGAUUUCCCACUCGAAGAUGCUAAAGAGGCUUUUGGCACCAGCUGUGUUCAAACUGUAAAAAUUGCAGCAAUUUUCCCCUGUUCCCUCAGAGUGGGAGAGGAAUGAACAAAUCCAGGAGUCCGUGCGACAGCCCAAACGCUGACCUCCGGAUAAGAGACGUAGCGGGGAUGCCCUUAGGAUGGAGGCCCCUUCGAGUAGGUAGAUGCUGCACCGGUCCCUUUCUGGCAUAGCAUUCACUUGGUGCUUUGGAUUUUGGGUGAGGGCCCCAUAGGGCGUUGGCCUUUUGGCAGCAUCUGUUUAGGAACAGCCUCUACCUGAGGCUGUACCACGAACAAAGCACCCAGCUGCAGCAAGGAGGGGGAAGGAGGGAGACCCUGGAGGACCGCGCCUUCUCCUCUUCCACCUGCAGCAGGCCUCAUGCAAUGGGCAGAAGUCACCGUGGCUGUGGGGCUCCACAGGAUCAAGCUCUUCUUUGCAUGAAGCAGUGUUAGUGUGAUACUCCUUUCCCCCGUGCUCUGCACUUCCUUUCUGUAAUCCCUACUACUUUCCUUAGUCCUGGGUUCUGCCCAGGGAGGCUUCUACCCAGUCUUCUUCUGCAGUUUGUCUCUGGGAAAUGGAGGGGAUGCCCCUUCCCCCUGCUUUGCCCCAGCAGAGCCAGCAGGAUCUUCCUGAUCUCCUGUUGUCCUCUCCUCCAAAAUCAGUUUCUGUCCUCUUUGGUAAAAGCUCAGAGUUUUUUAGCGAUCAGGAGAAAAUGCAGUCCCUGAGAAACCUGUCCCUGCAGAAAGGUUCUCUUGGGCCAUGCUUUGGGCUCUCUGCUCUUUAUAUUUUUAUUCUACUCUCCGUUUUUCUGCCCUCCCCUUGCCCUAGGCCUCAGCUUAGCACAGGUGGGUGCUCAGGGUGGCUCCUAGGACUGGACAGAGCUCUCAGGAAGGAAUUAGUUCAACAUCCUCAUGCCUGGCCCAUCUAGUUUCAUCCUUCAGUUACCCAGGCCAGUAGCUUUGGGUUAUCCCCUCUUGUAGCUCCAAACCCAGUGCUUAGAGCAGCAAUAUAGGGCACUGACAGGAGAUGACACCUCUCUCUCUCAUCUCAGAAUUUACCAACUAUGGGCCUGGUUCCUAGGAGGCAGUUUUCUUAAAGGGGACUGCAUCCUGGUUAACUUGAAGUCUCCAGACCUGGAGGGACCACCGUGCCCUCCCUUCUGUCCAUCGUGCCCUCUGGCUGGAUUGAUUCAGCAGGAGAAACCAUUUGGUCUGUGGGACCCCAACAUACUGCUAGGUUCCUUCACCAGAUUCAUUGUGUCAUGUGAGCUUUCUUUUGGAGGGAGGAUGAUGUGGUUGAACACGCAGAGAGAGAGAAUGGAAGUGAUGAUGUGCAUCUUUAGCUCCUCAUCUUCCAGUUCCCUCCUGCCUUCCUCUGCUCCUAAACCUGAGUAUAUCAUGCCAGGCCUCACUCAUAGCAGGACAGCAUCAGCUCACUCCUCAGCAAUAAUCUAGGCUGUGUGGGAAGCUUAGGGCUCUGGGGAGGAACAGAACUGAAGAGGGGAGUGAUAUGGGGUGGAGGCACUGGGCCAACUGCUAACCUUGGACACCAAUUUUAUAUCAUGCCCCCCUUUUAAGCCGGUGAGCUGGGCUUCAGUUUUCCCCAGGCCAUGACACUUUUAAUUUAUUUGAGAGAAACUCUAAUUGUAUUUUCACUGCAGUAUCUUGUAUUUUUUAUUUGUGAUUUAAGAAAUGUGAAGAGAAAAUACACAGACACAUAAUGGCUAACAGUGUUUCUUUCAUUCCUUGUUCUAGAGCUAACCACUCUAAAAUUGUUUGGUAAAUGUCACUUAGUGUAAUUAAUUGUAACAUAUUCUUUUAAAUAAAUUGAUUUAUUGAUGAAACUA